UACGUAGGGUGCAAGCGUUGUCCGGAAUUAUUGGGCGUAAAGAGCUCGUAGGCGGUUCGUCGCGUCGGCUGUGAAAACCCGGAGCUCAACUCCGGGCCUGCAGUCGAUACGGGCGGACUUGAGUGUUGCAGGGGAGACUGGAAUUCCUGGUGUAGCGGUGAAAUGCGCAGAUAUCAGGAGGAACACCAAUAGCGAAGGCAGCUCGCUGGGACGUAACUGACACUGAGGCGCGAAAGCGUGGGGAGCGAACAGG
rnacentral:rRNA from 1 species